ensembl:piRNA 21ur-6420 ncRNA
UUUUUUCCGUCGUCUUGGACU